CAGUCGAACGAUGAUGCCCAGCUUGCUGGGCGGAUUAGUGGCGAACGGGUGAGUAACACGUGAGUAACCUGCCCUUGACUUCGGGAUAACUCCGGGAAACCGGGGCUAAUACCGGAUAUGAGCCGCCUUCGCAUGGGGGUGGUUGGAAAGUUUUUCGGUCAGGGAUGGGCUCGCGGCCUAUCAGCUUGUUGGUGGGGUGAUGGCCUACCAAGGCGACGACGGGUAGCCGGCCUGAGAGGGCGACCGGCCACACUGGGACUGAGACACGGCCCAGACUCCUACGGGAGGCAGCAGUGGGGAAUAUUGCACAAUGGGCGAAAGCCUGAUGCAGCGACGCCGCGUGAGGGAUGAAGGCCUUCGGGUUGUAAACCUCUUUCAGCAGGGAAGAAGCGCAAGUGACGGUACCUGCAGAAGAAGCGCCGGCUAACUACGUGCCAGCAGCCGCGGUAAUACGUAGGGCGCAAGCGUUGUCCGGAAUUAUUGGGCGUAAAGAGCUCGUAGGCGGUUUGUCGCGUCUGGUGUGAAAACUCGAGGCUCAACCUCGAGCUUGCAUCGGGUACGGGCAGACUAGAGUGCGGUAGGGGAGACUGGAAUUCCUGGUGUAGCGGUGGAAUGCGCAGAUAUCAGGAGGAACACCGAUGGCGAAGGCAGGUCUCUGGGCCGCAACUGACGCUGAGGAGCGAAAGCAUGGGGAGCGAACAGGAUUAGAUACCCUGGUAGUCCAUGCCGUAAACGUUGGGCACUAGGUGUGGGGCUCAUUCCACGAGUUCCGUGCCGCAGCAAACGCAUUAAGUGCCCCGCCUGGGGAGUACGGCCGCAAGGCUAAAACUCAAAGGAAUUGACGGGGGCCCGCACAAGCGGCGGAGCAUGCGGAUUAAUUCGAUGC
rnacentral:rRNA from 1 species